GCUUACGGGCACACCAGUGUGAAUAUACCCCAUCUCGUCUGAUCUUAAAAACUAAACACGCUUGGGCUCGGCCAGUACUUGGAUGGGUGACUGCCUGGGAAUCCCGAGUGCUGUAAACU
rnacentral:rRNA from 1 species